CUCGUAGGCGGUUCAGUUAGUCGGGUGUGAAAUCUCCGGGCUCAACCCGGAGGGGCCACCCGAUACUGCUGUGACUCGAGUCCGGUAGGGGAGUGGGGAAUUCCUGGUGUAGCGGUGAAAUGCGCAGAUAUCAGGAGGAACACCGGUGGCGAAGGCGCCACUCUGGGCCGGUACUGACGCUGAGGAGCGAAAGCGUGGGUAGCAAACAGGAUUAGAUACCCUGGUAGUCCACGCUGUAAACGGUGGGCACUAGGUGUGGGUCCUUACCAACGGGAUCCGUGCCGUAGCUAACGCAUUAAGUGCCCCGCCUGGGGAGUACGGCCGCAAGGCUAAA
rnacentral:rRNA from 1 species